rnacentral:rRNA from 1 species
UACAGAGGGUGCAAGCGUUAAUCGGAAUUACUGGGCGUAAAGCGUGCGUAGACGGUAGCGUAAGUCGGGUGUGAAAGCCCCGGGCUCAACCUGGGAAUUGCAUUCGAGACUGCUCUGCUAGGGUGCGGAAGAGGGAAGCGGAAUUUCCGGUGUAGCGGUGAAAUGCGUAGAUAUCGGAAGGAACACCAGUGGCGAAAGCGGCUUCCUGGUCCAGCACCGACGUUCAGGCACGAAAGCGUGGGGGAGCAAACAGG